UAAACCAGCAGAUUGAAUUAUAUGUAGAAGGUUAAAAGGCAAUUAAACUUAUGUAAUUUAAGUUAUUAAAUUAGCCUAUAUAGAAGUGAAAUUCGAGUAAGGGAUGAAAUACUAUAAAAUAACUUGGCAAGUUGAAUUUGCGAAAAUCAGAAGGGAAACUGGGAUUAGAUACCCCAUUAUUUCUGAUCUUAAAUUGACUAGAUCUACCAGAAUACUAUGAAUUAUAAAUAAAUAUUUAAAAUUCAAAGAGCUUGGCGGUGUAUUAGAUUACUCAGGGGAACAUGUCUUAUAACUGAUAACCCACAUUAAACCUAACCUUCAUUUGCAUAACAGUUUGUAUAUCGUCGUCUAGGUAGCUUAUAAAAAUUUAGAAGUUAGCAAUAUAAGAAAUUACAGUAAGAUAGGAUGUCAGAUCAAGAUGCAGCUAAUAUUAAGGUAAUGAUGUGUUACAAUUAUAGGAUUAUAACACGAACAAGUAAAGUAAUUUUUACCUUGAAGGAGAACUUGAAAGUAAAAUGAACUAUACAAAUAUUUUGAAUUUAACUCUAAAUGUGC
rnacentral:rRNA from 1 species